UAUUAAUAUAACCUUUCAUUAUUAAUAAUUUUAAAAACUAAAAUUGAAUAUUACAUUGCAUGAUAAAAGUAGCGUGGUCAAUGAUACUUUGAAUUAAAACAUAUUUUUAGGGUAUACAUUUGUGCUGUGCUCAAAGUUUUAGAUAACAUAACCUCGCCAAGUCAGUAGAUAACUUUUUAAUAAGUUUGUGGAGUGUGUAAGCUGUAAUGUAGUGCUAUUAAAUAAGUAUUGUGUUAAUGACAUUAAAAUGAAUUAUUUAACACCAGGCGGGAUUUAGACCUGACAUAUGAUAUUGUGAAGUCACAAAGGGGUAGAGAUCUACUUUUGGUAAAUGGCUAUACCUAUGCUAUGAACACUGAACGUCGUUGGAUAUGCUCUACUCAUCAUCCUAAGUGCAAAGUGAAGUUGUGUCUUGAGUCUAAUGGGCGAAUAUCAUCCUUAACUGGAGAUCAUACUCAUGGCCCCAAAAAAAUAUUCAACUAUAAUGGUCGUAUUGUGAGGUCUUCAAUUUAUACCUACUAGAGCUGGGAACCAUAUAGCCCUUUACAAAGGUAAUUCUUAUUCUAAAAUGACAAGUAAAGCGAGGUGGUACUGUAAUAAAAAGUAUCGAGGCUGUAAAGGUAAAAUUAUUAUUUGUGAUAAUGUUGUUUGUGAACUUGAUGUGCAUAACCAUAUUUAGAUUUGUGUUUUACCCUGUUAACAUUGAAGCCAACACUUCAUAAUAUGAAA